AUUGAACGCUGGCGGCAGGCUUAACACAUGCAAGUCGAGCGGGGGAAGGUAGCUUGCUACCGGACCUAGCGGCGGACGGGUGAGUAAUGCUUAGGAAUCUGCCUAUUAGUGGGGGACAACAUCUCGAAAGGGAUGCUAAUACCGCAUACGUCCUACGGGAGAAAGCAGGGGAUCUUCGGACCUUGCGCUAAUAGAUGAGCCUAAGUCGGAUUAGCUAGUUGGUGGGGUAAAGGCCUACCAAGGCGACGAUCUGUAGCGGGUCUGAGAGGAUGAUCCGCCACACUGGGACUGAGACACGGCCCAGACUCCUACGGGAGGCAGCAGUGGGGAAUAUUGGACAAUGGGGGGAACCCUGAUCCAGCCAUGCCGCGUGUGUGAAGAAGGCCUUAUGGUUGUAAAGCACUUUAAGCGAGGAGGAGGCUACUCUAGUUAAUACCUAGGGAUAGUGGACGAUACUCGCAGAAUAAGCACCGGCUAACUCUGAGCCAGCCGCCGCGGUAA
rnacentral:rRNA from 1 species